AUUGAACGCUGGCGGAAUGCUUUACACAUGCAAGUCGAACGGCAGCACGGACUUCGGUCUGGUGGCGAGUGGCGAACGGGUGAGUAAUGUAUCGGAACGUGCCCAGUCGUGGGGGAUAACGUAGUGAAAAUUACGCUAAUACCGCAUACGCUCUAUGGAUGAAAGCGGGGGAUCGCAAGACAUCGCGCGAUUGGAGCGGCAGAUAUCAGAUUAGGUAGUGGGUGGGGUAAAGGCCCACCAAGCAAACGAUCUGUAGCUGGUCUGAGAGGACGACCAGCCACACUGGAACUGAGACACGGUCCGGACUCCUACGGGAGGCAGCAGUGGGGAAUUUUGGACAAUGGGCGAAAGCCUGAUCCAGCCAUUCCGCGUGCAGGAUGAAGGCCCUCGGGUUGUAAACUGCUUUUGUACAGAACGAAAAGGUUUCUACUAAUACUAGGAGCUCAUGACGGUACUGUAAGAAUAAGCACCGGCUAACUACGUGCCAGCAGCCGCGGUAA
rnacentral:rRNA from 1 species